rnacentral:misc_RNA from 1 species
ACAUCACCAACGAGACUCAAACCAAUCUCUAACACCGGUGAACUAGCUGGUCAAUCCAAUAAGCCAAUCUCUGACACCGGUGAACUAGCUGAUCAAUCCAAUAAGCUCAAGCACGAGAAAAGAUGAGAUUAAUAGUGACUGUGGACAGCUUCAUGAUGAAUUUUGCAUGGAGGAUUAACAAAUGGCAAACGCCAAACGCAAGCUAGUAGGAGCUAUUUCCGGCUGUCCAUUUCCAUCUUUCUAUUUUUCCAGACACGGCCCCAAAAUGUGUCAUGACUGUGUCUCGCCGUUACUGUCUUGGAAACAUUUCCAUAAUUAGGAAACGCUAGUGAUUGGAGUUUCCGUACUUUACAGUCUUCGGUCUCCUCCCCCCUACUAUUUUCCAUGAUAGAUGGAAAGAGGCACAAGCAAGGCAAAAAUCUAGUUCAUAACUGCAAUCUUUGCAAUCAAUCAAAUAACCAAGCCAUGAACCGAGAAUGCAAUAAUGUCCCUAUUCCAAGCUUAGGUGGUACGAUCAUGAAAUUGCUAAGAACUUACUUUACUAAAUGAAUAGGAGGCAUUAGUUCUCUUCUUCGCAUCUUCCCAUAAAAGGUCAGUCAAGUAUCAACCAAAAUUUAUUCACAAAUUAAUCAAAAACAUAUAGCACACUCAUAUCUAUCAUGUACAGAAAGGAAAGAAAGAAAAGAAACCAGUUAAAGUAGGUACUGAUAUAUCCCAGUAGAAAAGUUGGAAUCAAAGAUAAUUUAGUUAAAAGAAAUGUGUAGAAAAGUUUAUCAGAACAUGUUCACGGUCAAAUCUUUGUGUUUAUCCACACAUCACAACCCAACAAAUAUGUCCAUUAAGUACUAAUUUGCAGCAAAACCUCAACAAGUAGAUUUUCCUGAUACCAUAAGCAAUUUCUAGAUAUUACCACCCCUCAGGGCAAGAACAAGAUGAAGCACAGAGCCACCCUCAAUGUUGUAAUCACGAGCUGUCUUGUCAUCUGCAAGCUGCUUACCAGCAUAAAUAAGCCUUUGCUGAACUGGAGGAAUUCCUUCCUUCUCCUCAACUCGUUCUUUGAUCCGAUCAAUGGUAUCAGUGGGCUCGAUGUCAAUUUCAAUUUCUUUCCCAGUGAGGGUCUUCACUUUAAUCAUAGUUCCUCCUCUAAGCCUCAAAACCAGGUGAAGAGUUGACUCCUUCUGGAUGUUGUAAUCAGAAAGGGUUCUACCAUCUUCCAACUGUUUCCCAGCAAAAAUUAAUCUCUGCUGAUCAGGAGGAAUGCCUUCCUUGUCCUGAAAAGUCAAAUCCACAAAUAGAUACCUCUGAUUUCAUCAACUCACAACAAAAGACUAACAAGAGAGCAGCCCCAAGAGAAAUAAAAGAAGGUGAGCCAACAGCUCAUUAGAAUAUCAAACAGGUAAAUAAAACAAUUAUGUAAAACGGCCACUAGAAACUUUUACUAGAAAAAAAAAUUCAAUGAUUAUUUCUCAGCAACAAAACACAAACCAAAUCAUCAUAACGAACAAAAUUAGAUCCACGGGAUAUUAAGUAAUUAGAAUCGGUAAAGAUAAUUACAAUAGGCAAACCUCAAAGAAACAAUUUUUCAUCAAAAGAAACAGACCCAGAAAGAAAAAUAGAAGGAUAAAGAAGAAAAAGAAAAAAAAAUUGGAGAAAAAGGGUACCUGAAUCUUGGCUUUGACGUUGU